UUUCCAUUGUUAGAGAAGUCACUCGACCAUCUUGUCAAUAUAAUAGUCAUCUUAUAAACAUCUUUGCUUAAACUUGUCAUACGAAUUUCCAAGUUUAGAGUAGCAUUUGAACGCGACGUUAUCAUCUUCCUGCUGUAUACCUGUAUCACAUUAGUUGAAACCAAGACUUGUUCUCAUGGCAGUUUAGGAUACUUUUAACGUGACAGGUUAGGAUAAUUAAGUUAAGGAUAGGAAAAGGUGUAGGGUUAGCUAAAAUUGUCCCUGGUGUGACUGGAACAUAUCUAACUGCAACCAGGCCUGCCAUGAGAACAGUCUUGGUUUCCACUAACGCAAUGACGCGUAACCGGACAUCUCAGCGUCAGGAACUACAUAAGAGCUGUUACCAAAAUUCUCAUUUACAUUUGCUCGCGUUUAGACCUCUGGAAAAGUUAAUAGGUCUAUUUGACAAUUUACUAAUGGGAUUUUUUUUGUUGUCCUCGUUUGACAAAAUAAUUAAUAGGCCUAUCAAGAAGAAGUAGGCUACCUCAGGUUGCAGUUACUUUGUUGUAGUCUACUCUGAAGAGAAGUGUAUUAUCUUAUCGAAAAAAGCCACUGAAACACCAAAAGAUGGACUCACCAGCAAGCCCCCUCACUCGUGCUGGGAGGACUUUCUGGACAGUUUGGAACUACUUUACGGAAGUUGUGGGGAGGUAUCUAAGCCCAGAGUCCAUUAACAAUGACACAAGCUCAAGACAGGAAGCCACUGCUGCACAACAAACAGACGACCAUGGAGAUGGUGCGAAAAAUGAGAUAAAGGAAACUGAGGUCACUUUUGAAACAGGCUCUGAGGUUAAGAAACCAAGAUCUGUUGUUGCCUGGGAACAGUGCAAUGUCAUCAUUGGUCCAGGCCUCGGCAGAGACAAUGUGCAAUACACUGGACAAUCCAACAGAGGGAGUGAUAGCAAAUCAUCCCCGGAGGGGCAUGAUAUAAAACAAGAGCAGGUGGACCGAACAGAAAAUAAAGGCACAAUCCAGCAUGUUACUAAAGAAGAAUUAAAUAUGGGGAAAGGGGUCCAAUCAGUGGUAGUCACUGGGAUCCCGAUCUUAUUUAGAGAGCCGACAUCUGAAAGGUCAGAGGGCCAGGGAGCACAAGGACAGACUGACAGUUACAACUGUGCUGAAGCAAAAAGAUUAAGAGGUGCAGUGGCAGAAAGAAAAGCGGAGGAAGAAGAAAUCCCUGAAGAAGUUACUGAAGAAUUCCCCUGUGGUGAAGAAGGAACCAAAACAGAAGAACAUGAAAACAAUAGAGAUGGAGAAAUACAUUUUGAUAUAGAGUCCCCAAACCUUACAUCAGCCUGUGCUGAACCUGCCACACUUUUGGAUAAGAAUGGAGACAAGGAAAAUAAGGACAGAUUAAUGAAACACGAUGUGCAAAGUACAGAGGAUGAAACCAUGGUAAAAUUAAAUGAAAACGAUGGAGAGAAAGAAACGGAAGUACUCUUCAUGGAGACAGGCAGAGAAGGGUGGAAAGUAGCAGAAAUAGUAGAAUUCUCAGCGGGAGGGGAGAAUAGCGAUGAUCUGUGUGUAAUCAAAGACAAACUGAGUCGAGAUGGUAAUGAAGUGAAGAAUGACAUGGACAUGGAAGAACUUGGGAGGAAGGAGGAGAGAGAGGAAGAGAAUAGAGCAAUAGAAGAGAUGGGCAGAAGAGAACAGGAAGAGAUAUUGGACAGGGGCUUUGGACCGUACAAUGAUUUCCAAGUCUCAGAAAACAAUAACAAACAUGAAUAUGGUGACAAUCGUUUGAAGUUUGAUGAAGGAACUAUAGAGAGGUUUGAUCAAGAAAAUGACCCCAACCCACAACCACUUUGUGGAGGAUUAUCAGACGAAGACAGAACAUUGGGAAAAGGCCAGGACAUCUUUGUUUCAGAGGCAGAGUUGGAAUUGCCAAUGGCCUAUGACAAAAGAGUCUUUGUGUCAAAUGAUGAGAUAACUAUUGUUAGAGACGAGCAGAGAAUGGAGGGCAACACUGAAAGAAUUGACAGCACAGUGUUAGAGGAAAGAAAAGAAGAGGUAUCAGAGGAUGGAUCCAAAGUGUUUGAGGUCGGGGGCAGUAACAAGAUAGAAGACAUUGCAAUCGGUAUUGGGACGAAGACGGAUACAGAGGCAGAGGAUGUGAAAGAUAAAGUGACUGGGCUGGACACUUUCUUUUAUCAGGAGAGAAAUGUUGUAGUGGAGAAAAAUAAACUACAGGAAGACAAGAUUUUAAAGGAAGACGAAGACCCCCUUAAUGAAGUGGAGGGAAAACGUAUUUCAGUGGUUGACAAUAGAGUGGAAAUCAGAGGCGUGGCAAAAUACAUUUCCCCUGGGCUAUGUGAGGACCUUGUUGUGGCUCAGGAGCCAAAACGUGUAGCGUGUGAAGAAACUCGAGAGGAAAUUCCUGAAAUCAACAACGGCAAAGAGUUAGACGAGAAUACGGCACCGAAGAUCCUGGAAGUUGGCGGCGCUGAAGUCAACACCACCCGUUUACAAGAAGCACACACCAAAAGUGAUACCAAAGGGUUAGAAGGUGUAGAGAACACUGGAACUAGUUUUAAAUUGGACAAUUCACCAGUGAGUGAACUCAUGGAAGGGAAAGAAGACCCGAAAACUGUUGAAGGAUUAUUUGAAAGUGAGGAUAUUGAGAAAGCCUCUGAUACAGUGGUAGACGAGCACACAGUCACGAAAGCAGCGAAAUCACUGGGGGAAACGGAGAGAACAGAUUCUGUAUCACUGAAUGAAACAGAUACUCAAAUACUAGAGGACCUAGCGAAGACAAAGGCUGAAUCACACAAACCGAUGGAGAUUGAGUUAGGACUGUCAGAGGAAGCCGCAGAGACAUAUGUUUGUUUAUCAGAGGAGACACUGAGAACAGAGGCUGGAUUAUACAAAGAGACAGAGGAGAUAAAGGUCGAGUUUAGAGAGGGAUUCAUGGAGUCAAAGGCAGGGGAGACAGUGGGGACAGAAUUUGAAUCAGUGAAGGAGACACAGGCAGAAAUACCAGAAGUGAGGACCGGGGUUGUGCCAUCAGACGACAAAGAUGAGACAGAGUCUGGAUCAAUGCAGGAAUCAGCAGAUACCAAUUUUGGAUUGCUAAGAGAAACUGUGGCGGAAGGGUUACAAAAGGGGGCCGAGGUAGACACACCAGAGGUGAGGACAGUGACUGUGCUGUCAAUGGAGACAAACACAGAGGAAUCAGUGGAAUCUGAGGCUCGGGUCAUGUUGGAAACAGAAUCUGGAUUAGUGAAAAAACAUGAGGCAGAAAUACCAGAUGUGAGAACUGAAACUGCAUCAUCAGAAAGAACUGUGACGACAGAGGCAGGAUUAUCAAUGAACAUGACAUUGUACCCAUCAUCAAUUCACACAGAGGCUGUGUUUCUCACAGAGACAAAGGCUGUGUCAUCUAAUGAGUCACUGGAAACAGACAAUGGAUUAUCAGACAAAUCAUCUGAGGCUGGGACUAAAUCACAGGGAAUGGUAGAGGCUGGAUUACCAGAUUCGACAGAAAUAGAGGCCAAAUUAUUUGAGGAAAUGGUUUGUGGAGAAGUUGUACUAUCACAGGACACAGAAGAUGAAUUAUCAGAGGAAAAAUAUAAUAUAAAAGCUACAUUAAUGAAAGAAUUAGUGGAGCCAGGGGCUGGGGAAACAUUGGAGCCCGAAAAGGGAAUCAUGAAUGAGACAGAAGCAGCAAUACUUGAUAUGAAGAUUGAGGAAUCGCCAUCAGAGGAAACAGAGUCUGGAAUAGUUGACACAGAGGCCAGAAUUUUUCUGGAAACGACAGCGAUUGAGUCUGAAUUAUUGGAGACUGAGUCUGGAUCACAGAAGGACAAAGAGACAAAAAGACAGAGUAUUGAGACAGAGCCAACGGGGGAGACAGACGUAGAGGAAUUAGUGGAAUCUGAGGCUGGGGAUACGGUGGAGGCAGAAAUUGGAUUAGUGAGGACAGAAGCCGAAUUACCAGAGGAAGUUAGGCCAAAGAUAGAGCAAUUGGAAAAAAUGAAUAGAACAGGUGCUGAUUCAUCAGAGGACACAGAUGUGACAGAGGUCAGAUUUUCAGAGGAGAUAGAGACUGAUUUAGUAGAGACCAAGUAUGGGUUACAGAAGAACAUAGAAGAAGACAUACUACAUGAGAGAACAGAGACUGUGCUGUCGGUGGAAACAGUAGAGAUGGAUACGGACUCAUCAGACAAGUCACUGGAGUCCAGAUCACUUGAAAUAUCAGAGGCUGGAUUAUCUGAAGAAUCAGUGGACAGUGAGGAUGGAUUAAAGGAUAUUUACACAGAAAUACCAGAUGUGGAGAAAGAGUCUGGAUUAGCAGAGGAGACCGUAGAUGCUGGAUUAUCAGAGGAAACAGAUGUGUCAGACACAGAAUUAGUGAAAAAUACAACGGCUCUGAUAAUGCUAGAGGCUGAACUUUCAGAGGCGACAGAGGCUGUGUUAAAAGAGAAGGCAGGAGAUAACACGGCAAACAAAUCACUGGAAAUUGAGGUAGGAUUAUUUUGGGAAAACGAUGAGACCGAGGCUUUGGUAACAGAGGAAGUUGUGAAGACAGGGCCUGUUUUAUCGAAGCAGACAGAUUUUGGAUCACAGGGUCAACUACCGGAGAUCGACGAUGGAAUAAUAGAGAAAUCCCAAAUUGGGCAGUCUGGGGAAACUGUGGAAACAGAUGCAGGAUUACCAGAGGAAAACAGAGGGGAGGGUGCAAAAGCAGGAUUCAGUUCCCCGUCAGGAACCAAAAAUGUAGACCAAAGUCUUCAGCUUCAGUUUGACGCCUCCUCUUUGGACUUCACUGCUCAAAAGUCUCGCAUUGCCCUCAAGAAUCCACAUGCCCGUCCACCCAGGGAUCCCCGUACUCUUCUACAGAUGCCAUCUUUGACCCCCUCCCCUUCAAAACCCACCGUACACAUUCCAGUCAGAGGCCCAACAGGGAUACCAAUGAGGGGCAUGGGCGGCAUCGGAAUCAAACUACCUGGUAAGUUUAACAGAGAAAAGAGGAAUUUAAUGUAUAUGUGUUCUUUCAUUCUGUUAACGUUGGUGAUACAAUGUUCUAUGACAGAUAAUGGAUGAUGCCCAGAUUUAAGUGUGAAUGGAUAUCUUUCUUUGUUGUUUGUGUUGCUAUGACGUUGUUCAGGACUCGGUGCAGGGCCCCCCAUCUUAAGAAAGACCGGAAAGGGGGUGAUAGGUGAAAAUAACACCGAAAAUAUCCCUCAGAAAUCUGAGCUUGAGCCAGAUGUAAGGGAUGAAUCUCCCAAGAAAGACGAGACGCAAGAGGAGCGCAAAACUAAAUGGACACCGCCUAGGCAUCCAGGAUUUGGAAAUCCCCUGAUGAUGAAUGAGCUGAAGAACAAGCUAAAGAAGACUCCAAAAGAGAGCGGAGAUGAUUGACAGGACCUUUUUUCUCAUUGGUGAACCAUGGUCCAUGAACAAUGGGUUUUAAUUUAUCAUAAGUAUCUCCAUUUUAUUUCAAACUAUCUUUGUCUAUUUCUUUUGAAUAUCUUUGUAUGAACAUUUUCAAAAAAAAUUAAUACAUUUUUGUUUUGGACAGUGUUUACUUGUUCCAGAGGGUUUUUAAAAACUGGUGUGAUAAAAAAAAGUUGACUGCUCAAGGCAUUAAAUUGAUUCAAGAAGACUAUUUGUGACAUUUGUUUAUUUCUUCAUCAGUGGGUUUGUUCCAGCAAAAAUACACCUCUUAUUAUUUCCGUGCUAAUUAUUGCUGUUGCUACUGUAGUUACCUACAGGGAAACCAGCUAUAGCGUCUUGAUAUUUGGGAUAGCCUAUAAUUGCCUAUACUGAUUGGUCUUAUGAAGCUGUUAUAUAAACCUUAAGAUUCAUUAUAUUUUUUUAAAACUGUUUAUUUUUUGGGGGGCUUGCCUGUUCGCUUGUUAUUUUGGCAUUAAUAUGUCACAUAUCAGUUUGCAAACAAUGUCAAAUAAAAUAAAAAAAUGUCAUUGAGUUAAUAAAGCUGCAUACAAACAUG
ensembl:lncRNA